rnacentral:rRNA from 1 species
AAGCCUGAUGCAGCCAUGCCGCGUGUAUGAAGUAAGGCCUUCGGGUUGUAAAGUACUUUCAGCAGUGAGGAAGGUGGGUAUGUUAAUAGCAUAUUCAUUUGACGUUAGCUGCAGAAGAAGCACCGGCUAACUCCGUGCCAGCAGCCGCGGUAAUACGGAGGGUGCGAGCGUUAAUCGGAAUUACUGGGCGUAAAGCGCAUGCAGGUGGUUUGUUAAGUCAGAUGUGAAAGCCCGGGGCUCAACCUCGGAAUUGCAUUUGAAACUGGCAAACUAGAGUACUGUAGAGGGGGUAGAAUUUCAGGUGUAGCGGUGAAAUGCGUAGAGAUCUGAAGGAAUACCGGUGGCGAAGGCGGCCCCCCUGGACAGAUACUGACACUCAGAUGCGAAAGCGUGGGGAGCAAACAGGAUUAGAUACCCUGGUAG